AACGAACGCUGGCGGCAGGCCUAACACAUGCAAGUCGAGCGCCCCCUUCAGAGGUCAGAGAGUUUAUGCGGUGGUUGGAGAGAUCCGAUCGUCGCGUUGGAUUUCUGAGUUCUGAUGGGGGAGGCGGCGGACGGGUGAGUAACGCGUGGGAAUUUUCCUCAAGGUACGGAACAACUCAGGGAAACUUGGGCUAAUACCGUAUGAUGCAGAGAUGCCAAAGAUUUAUCGCCUGGGAGUAAGCCCGCGUCAGAUUAGUAGUUGGUGGGUAACGGCCUACCAAGCUGCGAUCUGUAGCUGGUCUGAGAGGACGAUCAGCCACACUGGGACUGAGACACGGCCC
rnacentral:rRNA from 1 species